CGGGAGCCGUAAGACAGGUGCUGCAUGGCUGCCGUCAGCUCGUGUCGUGAGAUGUUGGGUUAAGUCCCGCAACGAGCGCAACCCCUAUCCUCAGUUGCCAUCAUUAAGUUGGGCACUCUGUGGAGACUGCCGGUGUUAAACCGGAGGAAGGUGGGGAUGACGUCAAGUCCUCAUGGCCCUUAUGACCAGGGCUACACACGUGCUACAAUGGCCGGUACAAAGAGUUGCAAUACCGCGAGGUGGAGCUAAUCUCAUAAAGCCGGUCUCAGUUCGGAUUGGAGUCUGCAACUCGACUCCAUGAAGUUGGAAUCGCUAGUAAUCGCGGAUCAGCACGCCGCGGUGAAUACGUUCCCGGGCCUU
rnacentral:rRNA from 1 species